UUUCCGUAGGUGACCUGCGAAGGAUCAUUAAAGAGUAAGGGUGCUCAGCGCCCGACCUCCAACCCUUUGUUGUUAAAACUACCUUGUUGCUUUGGCGGGACCGCUCGGUCUCGAGCCGCUGGGGAUUCGUCCCAGGCGAGCGCCCGCCAGAGUUAAACCAAACUCUUGUUAUUAAACCGGUCGUCUGAGUUAAAAUUUUGAAUAAAUCAAAACUUUCAACAACGGAUCUCUUGGUUCUCGCAUCGAUGAAGAACGCAGCGAAAUGCGAUAAGUAAUGUGAAUUGCAGAAUUCAGUGAAUCAUCGAAUCUUUGAACGCACAUUGCGCCCCUUGGUAUUCCGAGGGGCAUGCCUGUUCGAGCGUCAUUACACCACUCAAGCUAUGCUUGGUAUUGGGUGCCGUCCUUCACUGGGCGCGCCUUAAAGACCUCGGCGAGGCCUCACCGGCUUUAGGCGUAGUAGAAUUUAUUCGAACGUCUGUCAAAGGAGAGGACUUCUGCCGACUGAAACCUUUUAUUUUUCUAGGUUGACCUCGGAUCAGGUAGGGAUACCCGCUGAACUUAAGCAUAUCAAUAAGCGG
rnacentral:rRNA from 1 species